rnacentral:rRNA from 2 species
AAUCCAUAGGUUAAUGAGGCGAACCGGGGGAACUGAAACAUCUAAGUACCCCGAGGAAAAGAAAUCAACCGAGAUUCCCCCAGUAGCGGCGAGCGAACGGGGAGGAGCCCAGAGCCUGAAUCAGCAUGUGUGUUAGUGGAAGCGUCUGGAAAGGCGCGCGAUACAGGGUGACAGCCCCGUACACAAAAGCGCAUGUGCUGUGAGCUCGAUGAGUAGGGCGGGACACGUGGUAUCCUGUCUGAAUAUGGGGGGACCAUCCUCCAAGGCUAAAUACUCCUGACUGACCGAUAGUGAACCAGUACCGUGAGGGAAAGGCGAAAAGAACCCCGGCGAGGGGAGUGAAAAAGAACCUGAAACCGUGUACGUACAAGCAGUGGGAGCCCCACCACCAAAGCAUUUGCUGUACCGCGUUGACGGAGCGAAGCGACGUCA